rnacentral:rRNA from 1 species
CAAUAGCGUAUAUUAAAGUUGUUGCAGUUAAAAAGCUCGUAGUUGGAUUUCUGGUGGGAGCGAUCGGUCUGGCGCUUAGCGCGAGUACUUGCAUCGUCUCCGGCCAUCCUUGGGGAGAGUCUGUCUGGCAUUAGGUUGACGGGCAGAGGAUCCUCAUCGUUUACUGUGAAAAAAUUAGAGUGUUCAAAGCAGGCUUAUGCCGUUGAAUAUAUUAGCAUGGAAUAAUAAGAUAGGACUUUGGUACUAUUUUGUUGGUUUGCGCACCAAAGUAAUGAUUAAUAGGGACAGUUGGGGGUAUUCGUAUUCCGUUGUCAGAGGUGAAAUUCUUGGAUUUACGGAAGACGAACUACUGCGAAAGCAUUUGCCAAGGAUGUUUUCAUUGA